GUCAGCCUCUUGGGCCUUCUCCCUUUGGCUUCAUGCUCCGGAAUUCCAGACCACAGACUAGAGGACAGGGGCUGAGUAUUCCCCAUCAGCCUAGACCAGGCUGGAUCCCAAGACUGGGAGUUCCUAAAAUCAGGCCCCCCAAGCCCCUCUGCGCCGCCCUGCCUCACCUCCACCAGCUGCCCGGCGACCCCCGCGAGACAAACCCCCAGCACGGCGCCGCCCAGUGCCCAGCGGGGCUCCGCGCCUCGCCAAUGCUGC